AUCUAGAUCGAUUGAAUUCCAGAAAAAAUAUCCAGUGAAACCUUCGAAUCUCCAUCGCCAAUUUCUCCCCUCUUCUACACAAAUCUUACCCCAAUUAACUCCCUUCUUCAUCUUCUGUUUGUUCCUUCGUUGCGCGGCCAUCGGAAAACGUUUCUUGCUCUCUCCUCCGCAUAUCUCACCGGCGGUAACUAAAGCUUUUCAACUCCCACCGCAUAUCUCACCGGCGGUAACUUGCUCUCUCCUCCGCGCAAGGUUUUUCGCAUAUCUCACCGGCGGUUUGCUCUUUUUCAACACCGCCUAUAACACCGAGAAUGGUGGAUUUAUCUGGGAUUUCCUUGCAAUUAUCCGAAGUUGAGACUUAUACCAGAAGAAGGAAGGGACAUACGCCACAAUAGAACAAAGAGGGGAGAAGGGAGGCAGAUACAACAGAAAAGUGUGGAACCACGGUGCUUAGUGGAGCAGUCCCUGAAUCUCAUUAAGGCUAUUUGUCUCAUUAGGAUACUGCAAGGAACCACGGUGCUUAGUGGAGCAGUCCCUGAAAAGUGUGGAACCACGGUGCUUAGUGGAGCAGUCCCUGAAAAGUGUGGAACCACGGUGCUUAGUGGAGCUGCCUUCCUCUCGAAAGAAGAUACUUUUGAUGCUUUAGUUAUUUUGGCUAUUCGUCUCAUUAAGGAUAGCUCACUAUUUAUAAGCUACAGCACUGUAUCUGGACAACGAUCUCAUUUACACUGUUGGUCAAAGUGGUAGGUCACUAGCUUUUCGGUAGGACCGCCCUACGGGCGCGUGUAGGAAAGACCGAGUGAGUCAACCACGCGCGCGUGGCCUCACGCGCAGUAUAACCACACCACCGUUGAAAUAUGGCGAAGCAACAGUGAUGAAGUAGGUUUUCAGAUGCCGAAGGCGACGCAAGACCUAGAUCCACAUGGAGUAGCGGCGCUCGAUGUAGAUCGGAAAACUGCGGAAGUUAGGUCGCCGUUGAGCUGAAGAAGGAAUAUGAAGAGUGAAGCGAAAUCGCUUUGCGACGGAAUCCACGGCGGUGGUGGUUAGGUUGGCGGAACUGAAAAUGGCGAGGACGGCGGCGGCGUUGUCUCGGAAUUAGGUUUUUGAUUUUAGGUUUUUUUUGCCGCGGUUGCGGUGGUGGAGGUGGAGGUGGCGGAGGUGGAGGUGUGGCUUGGUUCUGCGAGAAAGGGCGGAGAGUUUCGGCGGUGGAGGUGCGGCUCGGUUUUGCGAGGAAGAGCGGCGACUUUGGGUGGUCGGAUGAGGCGUCGCAAGGAAGGGCGGCGACUUUGGGUGGUCGGAUGAGGCGUCGCAAGGAAGGGCGGCGAGUUUCUUCAAAUAUGCAGGGCCAUUGAUUUGAGUGUGAUGGGAAUUUUCAUUUUACCAUUGAUGAAGAAUGUUCGCAAGUGUGAUUACUCUGAUUGUCCAAUUAUUAUUGCAUUAAUUAUUUUAUAUUUAUA